UACUACAUAAUAAAAUACAUCGUUGUACAGUCAUUUUGAUGGUUGUAAAUUUAUUUAGCACACUCAUUUUUAUAUAUUUUUAGACUGUUUACCGUUUAACUCCUGUCCCAAUCUAACCUAGUGGGUUCAAAAAGAAGGGACCGCGCUGGAAACAUUAAUUAAUAGUCGAAGUGGUAACCAGCUAGAAGUCGUAACCAGCUCGUAUGAAAGGAUUUCUCGACGUGAAAUAGUUAAUUUUAUUCAACAAAGCCAAGAAACAGAGCUCGCUCAAGAAACAGA